rnacentral:tRNA from 1 species
GAGGGUAUAGCUCAGUGGUAGAGUGCAUGCCUAGCAUGCAUGAGGUCCUGGGUUCAAACCCCAGUACCUCCA